AGCGUACACGGUGGAUGCCCUGGCAGUCAGAGGCGAUGAAGGACGUGCUAAUCUGCGAUAAGCGUCGGUAAGGUGAUAUGAACCGUUAUAACCGGCGAUUUCCGAAUGGGGAAACCCAGUGUGUUUCGACACACUAUCAUUAACUGAAUCCAUAGGUUAAUGAGGCGAACCGGGGGAACUGAAACAUCUAAGUACCCCGAGGAAAAGAAAUCAACCGAGAUUCCCCCAGUAGCGGCGAGCGAACGGGGAGCAGCCCAGAGCCUGAAUCAGUAUGUGUGUUAGUGGAAGCGUCUGGAAAGGCGCGCGAUACAGGGUGACAGCCCCGUACACAAAAAUGCACAUGCUGUGAGCUCGAUGAGUAGGGCGGGACACGUGGUAUCCUGUCUGAAUAUGGGGGGACCAUCCUCCAAGGCUAAAUACUCCUGACUGACCGAUAGUGAACCAGUACCGUGAGGGAAAGGCGAAAAGAACCCCGGCGAGGGGAGUGAAAAAGAACCUGAAACCGUGUACGUACAAGCAGUGGGAGCACGCUUAGGCGUGUGACUGCGUACCUUUUGUAUAAUGGGUCAGCGACUUAUAUUCUGUAGCAAGGUUAACCGAAUAGGGGAGCCGAAGGGAAACCGAGUCUUAACUGGGCGUUAAGUUGCAGGGUAUAGACCCGAAACCCGGUGAUCUAGCCAUGGGCAGGUUGAAGGUUGGGUAACACUAACUGGAGGACCGAACCGACUAAUGUUGAAAAAUUAGCGGAUGACUUGUGGCUGGGGGUGAAAGGCCAAUCAAACCGGGAGAUAGCUGGUUCUCCCCGAAAGCUAUUUAGGUAGCGCCUCGUGAAUUCAUCUCCGGGGGUAGAGCACUGUUUCGGCAAGGGGGUCAUCCCGACUUACCAACCCGAUGCAAACUGCGAAUACCGGAGAAUGUUAUCACGGGAGACACACGGCGGGUGCUAACGUCCGUCGUGAAGAGGGAAACAACCCAGACCGCCAGCUAAGGUCCCAAAGUCAUGGUUAAGUGGGAAACGAUGUGGGAAGGCCCAGACAGCCAGGAUGUUGGCUUAGAAGCAGCCAUCAUUUAAAGAAAGCGUAAUAGCUCACUGGUCGAGUCGGCCUGCGCGGAAGAUGUAACGGGGCUAAACCAUGCACCGAAGCUGCGGCAGCGACGCUGAUGCGUUGUUGGGUAGGGGAGCGUUCUGUAAGCCUGCGAAGGUGUGCUGUGAGGCAUGCUGGAGGUAUCAGAAGUGCGAAUGCUGACAUAAGUAACGAUAAAGCGGGUGAAAAGCCCGCUCGCCGGAAGACCAAGGGUUCCUGUCCAACGUUAAUCGGGGCAGGGUGAGUCGACCCCUAAGGCGAGGCCGAAAGGCGUAGUCGAUGGGAAACAGGUUAAUAUUCCUGUACUUGGUGUUACUGCGAAGGGGGGACGGAGAAGGCUAUGUUGGCCGGGCGACGGUUGUCCCGGUUUAAGCGUGUAGGCUGGUUUUCCAGGCAAAUCCGGAAAAUCAAGGCUGAGGCGUGAUGACGAGGCACUACGGUGCUGAAGCAACAAAUGCCCUGCUUCCAGGAAAAGCCUCUAAGCAUCAGGUAACAUCAAAUCGUACCCCAAACCGACACAGGUGGUCAGGUAGAGAAUACCAAGGCGCUUGAGAGAACUCGGGUGAAGGAACUAGGCAAAAUGGUGCCGUAACUUCGGGAGAAGGCACGCUGAUAUGUAGGUGAAGUCCCUCGCGGAUGGAGCUGAAAUCAGUCGAAGAUACCAGCUGGCUGCAACUGUUUAUUAAAAACACAGCACUGUGCAAACACGAAAGUGGACGUAUACGGUGUGACGCCUGCCCGGUGCCGGAAGGUUAAUUGAUGGGGUCAGCGCAAGCGAAGCUCUUGAUCGAAGCCCCGGUAAACGGCGGCCGUAACUAUAACGGUCCUAAGGUAGCGAAAUUCCUUGUCGGGUAAGUUCCGACCUGCACGAAUGGCGUAAUGAUGGCCAGGCUGUCUCCACCCGAGACUCAGUGAAAUUGAACUCGCUGUGAAGAUGCAGUGUACCCGCGGCAAGACGGAAAGACCCCGUGAACCUUUACUAUAGCUUGACACUGAACAUUGAGCCUUGAUGUGUAGGAUAGGUGGGAGGCUUUGAAGUGUGGACGCCAGUCUGCAUGGAGCCGACCUUGAAAUACCACCCUUUAAUGUUUGAUGUUCUAACGUGGACCCGUAAUCCGGGUUGCGGACAGUGUCUGGUGGGUAGUUUGACUGGGGCGGUCUCCUCCUAAAGAGUAACGGAGGAGCACGAAGGUUGGCUAAUCCUGGUCGGACAUCAGGAGGUUAGUGCAAUGGCAUAAGCCAGCUUGACUGCGAGCGUGACGGCGCGAGCAGGUGCGAAAGCAGGUCAUAGUGAUCCGGUGGUUCUGAAUGGAAGGGCCAUCGCUCAACGGAUAAAAGGUACUCCGGGGAUAACAGGCUGAUACCGCCCAAGAGUUCAUAUCGACGGCGGUGUUUGGCACCUCGAUGUCGGCUCAUCACAUCCUGGGGCUGAAGUAGGUCCCAAGGGUAUGGCUGUUCGCCAUUUAAAGUGGUACGCGAGCUGGGUUUAGAACGUCGUGAGACAGUUCGGUCCCUAUCUGCCGUGGGCGCUGGAGAAUUGAGGGGGGCUGCUCCUAGUACGAGAGGACCGGAGUGGACGCAUCACUGGUGUUCGGGUUGUCAUGCCAAUGGCACUGCCCGGUAGCUAAAUGCGGAAGAGAUAAGUGCUGAAAGCAUCUAAGCACGAAACUUGCCCCGAGAUGAGUUCUCCCUGACUCCUUGA
rnacentral:rRNA from 1 species